rnacentral:rRNA from 1 species
UACAUGUGGGGCAAGCGUUGUUCGGAAUUACUGGGCAUAAAGGGUGCGUAGGUGGUUUGUUAAGUCAGGGGUGAAAUCCCGCGGCCCAACCGUGGAACUGCCUUUGAUACUGGCGAACUUGAGUGCGUGAGGGGUAGGGGGAACGAGCAGUGUAGCGGUGAAAUGCUUAGAUAUGACAUAGAACACCGAUAGCGAAGGCAGCUUGCUACACAAUUAUUGACACUGAGGCACGAAAGCGUGGGGAUCAAACAGG